UGGUUAAGUGACUAAGCGUAC
rnacentral:rRNA from 1 species